rnacentral:misc_RNA from 1 species
UUAAGUUUGGAUCUGCUUGAUGAACUAGGAUCUCCGUAUUCUUUUCCCAAAGAAUCCCAAGUCCCUUCUGUGGGAACUUCUGACCAUAAUCUGGCAAGUCCUUCAAAAUUGGGUGGGAAUGGUGGACAUGGCAGAAUUCAUCGAAGCUCAAAGGGAACAAAUGUUGCUGCUGCAAAUAAGUUCCGGAAUGUGGAUAAGUUAAAUGAAAUUGGGGCAAAUGGUGGUUUGCAUAUUGAUGGGUUGAUUCAUUUAUCCAGGGCAGGGAAGGAACAGAAUCAAACAUCUACCUGUGAAACAACAUAUCAAGAGUUUGUGAAAAAUCUUGAAGUGGACUUUCAUUCUAUUAGCCUUGAUGAUGGCGGAAGUGCUUUCUCCAUGUUGAAUAGAAAUUUGCCUAUAUACAUGAACUGUCCAUACUGCAGGCAUUCCAAGAAGAAGAAGGAUUCACAAAAGAUUAAGUUUGCUGGCGCAAUAUCGCAGUUACAGAGGAUUUU